GCUGGGCACCCCGGAGAGGAGCCUGAGGCUGUCAGCCGCCGCCUAGGAUGGGGGGUGGGGGGACGGCGCCCAGUGGUCCAAGUGCCCGGUGCCCUGGGCGGAGCCACGGCCAUCUGACCCCCAGAGGCACAGAUACACGCUCCCUGCUUGGGUUUCAUGGAUUCCCAGCCCAGCUGCGUGGUGGUGACUGGUUUUGGACCCUUCCGGAAGUACCUGGUGAAUUCCAGCUGGGAAGCAGUGAAGGAGCUGUCCAAGCUGGGCCUGAACAGUGACAUGGAGGUGGAGCUGCGGAUUCUCCAGCUACCUGUAGAUUACAGGGAGGUGAAGCAGAGGGUCACCAGAAUCUGGGAAGACCUUCAACCGCAAACGCAGUUCGCUGUGCACAUCGGCCUGGACGCCUCCGCCAAGGCAAUCGUUCUGGAGCAGUGCGCCAAGAACCGGGGCUACCGGGACGCGGACAUCCGGGGCUUCCGGCCGGCGCGCGGCGAGUGCCUUCCGGAUGGCCCGGAAGUGAUCGCGUCGGAGGUCAGCAUGAAGGCGGUGAGCAAGCGCGUAGAGGGCCACGUGGAGGGCGUGGAGGUGACCUCUUCUCGAGAUGCGGGCAGAUGUCAUCCCGUGAGGAGGCCCGAGCUCCCUCUUGAUGAACUGAUGAACGUCUCCAUCAUCUCUCCCUGUGCGACCUCCGGUGUUCUUGAGGAGGACUCCCCAGAGGGCCCGUGCGCCUCCCGGUCUAGGCGGCCUGCCGUCCCCCGUGCAUAUGCACUGGGGCCUGUUUACCUGUGGCUGGCCGGCGGGGGGUCGGGGUCCGUUUGAAAGCUGACCCAGCGUCAACAGGUUGAACUCUGGGUUGGUCGCUUAAUAGUUGGGGGGUCUUGGGCAUGUCUGUGUGUUUGCUCAUCUCUAACAAAUAAAAACCCUUCCCGUGCAGAGCUGUGAACACCUGCUGAGAGAAUGGAUGUGCGAGUCGGUCAGCGAUGAGCGCGUACGGGGCAAACACACCCCUUCCUGAGUCUGGGCUGCUAGCUGGACCUGUGAGGAGGGCGGAGGCGGAGAUAGCCCGGCUGGCUCUGUGGUCUCAGAGUGGCACGGUGGGGGGAGGCACUGGCCUCUGUGACCACCCAGCACCUCCAUCCUGAGAAGAAAGUGCUGUAGCUUCCGGCGGAGGACAGGUGCCCAGUGCGGCGCGGCUGGCUGGAAGCCACUCGGCCGCCCGCCUCACCGGCAGCCCGCCCGCCCGUCCGAGCCUAGGGAAUGAGCCUUGAGCCUGCCCGGAGUCGUCAGUCAUCCAGUGACGGUUGAGGUCGAGCGCCAGCCACCGCGUGACAACGGGAAAAAACUAUGGGACAGAGGCUUGAGAAAGUCGUAGGGCUGAAGCUACUGACAAGCAGAAAAGCACUGCGCACUGGCUUUCUCGCCUUUAAUCUCCAGUCACAACUAGCAAUCGUCAUAUUUGAGCUUUGUUCUUACUCAUAAUUCAAACAUUUCCAUCCCAGAAGCAACUCGUGU